CAGUUAUUUAUUUAUUUUUUUCUUAAACCUCCUAAGUCUGUAGACAUUCCUAAGAAACACGCAGUCAGUCCUGGUGAGAGUGAAGUCAAGUUCUGGAAUCCUCAUUCCGAAUCUGCUGCCAGAUUCUCGAGAGAAUCUGGAAACAGAAAGCUAAGUGUUUUGUAUUUGUUCCAGACCCCCCCACCCAGGAAAAAAAAAUAGGAUUACAGCAUUCAUUUUGUCUAAUUACUUUUACUUCUGUCCUUUACAGGGCUGCUGAAGACCCAUGACCUUCACUACCGAACUGCUUCAUUGGAGGGAAGGAAUUGCCUUGAUGUCUAGGAUUCCAAGUGGUGUGAGAUGUUCCUGACCUUUGUUCAGUGACACACUCAACUAGACCAUCCUUUGUUGUGAAGCUGUCUUCUGCAUUCUGGGGUGGUUAGCAACAUCUCUUGGUGAUGUCGACUGAUGCAGUGGCAAAGCACGACUCUCACCCACCACGCAUAACAUUCAAUCACUGUGUUUCCUGAAGAAAAGCUGCCUCAGAAAGAGAACUACUACAGUGUUUGAGGGCAACCCUCUCUUCAUUCUAAAGCCAAAUGCUGCCAGCAGCUGGCAUCCUCAGCUGGCUGAAGAAUCACGAAGUGUAGACAACAGAGAGGGAAGGGAAUGCUACACUGAAAAGUGAAGGCUUCACUCUGUCGAAUAUGCAGCUAAGCUCCAGGAAGAUGAAUUCUAGACACACCAAGCCUCCCAAGAAAAGACUGAUUUUUUUCUGACCUGGAUUUCAUACUCACCGGUCUCAGCAGCAUCUGUGUGUUGAAAUAUGGGCAAAUCUGGACAAAGAGAUUUGCAACUUUGCAAAUCUUUAUAGUCUUUACCAUCUCUGUCAUCACCUUUCCUUUUUAGAACCUUAUUCUGUGCAUUCUCCCAUUCAGGUUUGACCCUUCAUAGUUUCUGAGAUCAGGCACUCAGUUCAGAUCCUGGCUGGCCUCAUUUCCUCUGCCCAUUCUCAAGCCAGGCAAUGGAAUGGCUUCACUUGGACCAUAUGGAGGGAAGGUAGAAAACAGUGGUUCACUUCCAUAUUUGCUGCUCUGAAUACAUAGUUUUCAGGUUUCUGACAUCAUAUGAGAGACACAUCACUGUUUCUAAAAUGUGGUGGGAAAGAGCACAAGGGACAUGAAGGAUGAGAUCUAUGACUGAAGGACCCCUUUCCCCCAUGCUCACAGGUGCUGCCUCUGAAGACUCAGACCUAAAAACAAAACCCAGAAUUCCAGGAGUCUUUAAUACACAGAAAAAUUUCAAAUUGGAAAAUGAUUUUUUUUUGUAGCCUUUUAGCAUCAUCACCCAGUGUUGCCUUUAAAACAAACAAACAAACAAAAACAAAAAGACAGACAGACAAACAAACGUCUUGAAAGUACUCCGGUUCAGGCCUAUGAUCUAGGAACUUAUUAAUUUUAAUUUUUCUCUUGGCACUUUCACCUCCACUCUCAUUUAGUCAGCCUGUAAAAUUAUGAUGUUAAUCAUUGCCUACCUAGCACACGGUAAUAAUUGCUAAUUAACUAAUUUUUAUAUGUAGAAACCUGUGAAGACAUUACAUGGGUGCUAGGCAUUAUUAUUGUCUGGUGGUGCUAAAGAACACUGUUCUGUUUGAGGGAGACGGGUUACAGUGUCUGCCUACUCUCCGUGGGAAUGGAAGCUUAGAAGGCCCAUCCCUCAAUGCAUCAUCUCCUCCCUGAUUGAUCUGACAAACACAAUCCUGAGGUGAGAUGGUACUUGCCUGCAACAAGCAGUGUGGCGGGCAGUAUUUGACGAGGAAGCUCUGCAGCAGAAUUUCAGUUGCUCUGGGGUUGGCACCUGCUGGGAUCUAAAUGUCAAGGACAGAACGUUGCAGCACUCCAGGAGGCCUCCCGUUCUUUGAGCCCAGUACGCAAGCGCCUUCACGGAAAUGCUCUUCAGGAGCUGGGAGAAGGUUCACUCCGUAACUUGUGAAGUGCUUGUUGCGGGUGAGGAUCUGAGUUCAGGUCCCCAGGACCCAAAGGAGAUCUGGUGCAAUCUCAGUGUUAGGGAGGUAGAGACACACAGAUCCCUAGGUCUCUCUAGCCAACAAGUCUAGGUGAAUUAGUGAGCCCCAGGUUCAAUGAGAGAUUCUGUCUCAAAAAAUAAGAUGAAAAGUGAUUGUGGAAGACACCCAGUGUCAAUGAUUAUGCAUACCCGCAUGCUCACAUGCCUGUACAUAUACCCCCUCACACACACAUACACACACCACUACCAUUACAUCAUCCAGAAAAGGAAGUUUACCUUUUGCUUUAUUUCUUAGUGAUUUUCAAAGCUUAUAAGAGAAUUCUCUUCUUCUGGGGUAGCUUUGCGUGAGUCACUUUUGAACCAAGAAACUGUGACAUCGGUUUUGUUUGAAAUCUUGUCCUGAAACUGUGGCUUCAGUGCCCAGAUCAAGUGGGCACUUGGCAAUUAAAAAGUCUAAACAAAA